UACUUGAUGUCACGAUCGGUUUGUGUGUAGAUCAGCAUGAAGUCGAACACAUCUGAAAGAUGUGUGGGCUGCCUGCACUCAACGUUGCGAUAAUUCAGUAGAGUGUAACCUCAAUCGGUUUUUGCAGCUUCUGGGUGUCGUGUCGAACGAUCGCAGAACGAUAUUUUGUUCUUUUCCAACUCGAUUUUUAACUCCCUAAACUAGUAGGAUGUUCCAACGGGUGAAGCAACAGUGCUGACGGCAGAGUUUCAGUGUCAAUUUUUCAUGCCAUGAUCACUGGGGCGGAAACCAUUAUGACGUUGCCUUGGACAUCAAACUAAACCAUCUCAUUCUGGCUUUUGCUAACAUCGAAAUCUCAGAAGGACAGGACUAAGAUGGACGCAGCCUCCACAUGCAACCUUGCAUUUGAGGAACACCCAUAGAACAGUCAACUUACCCCAUACUCUAACCUGAAUGCAGGGAUCAUAAAACUUUAUCUUUUACCUUAAUUGUUAGAUGGUUGUUGAUACCAAACUUUUUUGUCUCGUCUACCCAGGAGAAAGUCAUGGGUUCUGCUGCUGAGGUUGUCAUAAAGCAUGCUUUUUCCAUUUGUUGCAUUGGGCAAUAUUAUCAAAAGAUUCUGAAAGAAAUAAGAUAAUUUUCAAAGCAUUAACAUGAAUAUGAAAGCAUUAAGUCAUUAAUGACCAUCUUUUAUUAUUGUUUAUUUACAGUGUCUUUUAUUCUGCUUACCUGACUCAUGCAGAAUUCUGGCUUGAUGUUUGGUCCACCUGUUAGCUGGCUCUGGUGCUUGGUAGUCUUCUCAAACCUCUGAAUCAAGGCCACCAUGAGAGGCCUUCUGAAGACCAUCAUUACGCUUCAGAUCCAGUUGUCUUUACUAUGAGCCUACCACAAUCCCUGUGCACCAGCUAUGGAAAGUGCAGACCAAACUUCUACCUCCACCUAUGGGACUGAACUGGAGUCUGUGAACUAAUGCUGUGUUCGAGACAACUUGGAUGUUGGAUAUUAUUGACCUCAAACCCGUAAGAAGUCUGGAACAGCAAACAAAGUUGAGUAAAAGAAAUCUAUAUUUAAUGUUAAAAAAUACUUACAGUAGACUGUGUUAGAUAACUGUGCUCUUGGAAGUCAGCUUAAGUUAACAAAUGGUAAUGUUAAUGAAAAGAUCAUUUUUGUCACAGUUGCAAACUAACCACCACACAGAAUAUGAAGAAUAGCCAGAACUGUGGUAAUAAGCUAGCCCUAAAAUGUUGUGAUAAUCUUGAUGUAUUGGACACAGGUGUGUAGUAUCUGUUAUAUAUUGACGGUUGACAGGUUUGUUUGCAUGUAAUUGCAUUAUUAUUAAUUUGGGGUUGAUAGUCCAAUGUUGAUUUGAGAGAAUUUUUUUCUUUUUCUUUUUAGAUCCUUUCUCUUUCUAAUGCAGAACUUAAGGAUGAAGCACCCUGAUCUACUAAGAUGCACAGAUUCAACUCUGGCCCAGCAUCAUCCCCACACCUCAUCUGCCAUCAGUUUAAUUUAAUGUCUGUCAAUUGCAAAUGCUAUUUAUUUCAGUUAUAUUACAACUUAAUGUUAACUUUAAUUGAGACUAGUAUUGAGUAAAGCUGGGGUUUCCAAACUUUUAAUUUCAAAACCUAUUAGACAAGUGUAAUCUAUUCUAGACCCACUAAAAUAUUUUUACAUAUACAUUUUUUUAAUGGGGUAAAACACAUUUGUUCUCUUUCAGUGGAGUCAUUUUAUUUUCAUAAUAUUCCAUAAUGUAAAGCAGUGGUUCUUAACGUUAUUCCUCGAGGCCCAUUGCUCUGCACAUUUUGUAUGUCUUUUUUA